rnacentral:rRNA from 1 species
AGAGUUUGAUCAUGGCUCAGAUUGAACGCUGGCGGCAUGCCUUACACAUGCAAGUCGAACGGCAGCAUAGGAGCUUGCUCCUGAUGGCGAGUGGCGAACGGGUGAGUAAUAUAUCGGAACGUGCCCUAGAGUGGGGGAUAACUAGUCGAAAGACUAGCUAAUACCGCAUACGAUCUACGGAUGAAAGUGGGGGAUCGCAAGACCUCAUGCUCCUGGAGCGGCCGAUAUCUGAUUAGCUAGUUGGUGGGGUAAAAGCCUACCAAGGCAGCGAUCAGUAGCUGGUCUGAGAGGACGACCAGCCACACUGGGACUGAGACACGGCCCAGACUCCUACGGGAGGCAGCAGUGGGGAAUUUUGGACAAUGGGGCAACCCUGAUCCAGCAAUGCCGCGUGAGUGAAGAAGGCCUUCGGGUUGUAAAGCUCUUUUGUCAGGGAAGAAACGGUAGUAGCGAAUAACUAUUACUAAUGACGGUACCUGAAGAAUAAGCACCGGCUAACUACGUGCCAGCAGCCGCGGUAAU